AGGUUGAACGCUGGCGUCAUGCUUAACACAUGCAAGUCGAACGAGAAUUUCUAAGGUUUUAAGUUUCUUUUAAGUUAACUUUUGAUUUUAUUAAUUUUAGUGGCGGACGGGUGAGUAACGCGUAAGAAUUAAUCUACCUUAUGGUGAGGGAUACCAACUGGAAACGGUUGUUAAUACCUCAUAAAAUAAGCUGAGAAGUAAAAGGUGUACUACACCGCCAUAAGAGGGGCUUGCGUCUGAUUAGUUAGUUGGUGGGGUAAAGGCUUACCAAGACUAUGAUCAGUAGUUGGUCUGAGAGGACGACCAGCCACACUGGGACUGAGACACGGCCCAGACUCCUACGGGAGGCAGCAGUGAGGAAUUUUCCGCAAUGGGCGAAAGCCUGACGGAGCAAUGUCGCGUGGAGGAAGAAGGCCCGUGGGUCGUAAACUCCUUUUGUCAAAGAAGAAUAUAUGACGGUAUUUGACGAAUAAGCAUCGGCUAACUCCGUGCCAGCAGCCGCGGUAA
rnacentral:rRNA from 1 species